rnacentral:ncRNA from 1 species
CCACCCCAACGGCUUCCUGACGGGGUGGAUCAUAAAUCACUGGAGCA